CAGCCGCCGCGGUAAUACCGGCGGCCCGAGUGGCGGUCACUAUUAUUGGGCUUAAAGCGUCCGUAGCCGGGUUGGGAAGUCCUCCGGGAAAUCUGGCCGCUUAACGGUCAGAAUGCCGGAGGAUACUCCCAGCCUAGGGAGCGGGGGAGGCCGAGGGGAUUCCCGGAGUAGGGGUGAAAUCCUAUAAUCCCGGGAGGACCACCUGUGGCAAAGGCGCUCGGCUGGAACGCGUCCGACGGUGAGGGACGAAGGCCAGGGGAGCAAACCGGAUUAGAUACCCGGGUAGUCCUGGCUGUAAACGAUGCGGACUUUGUGUCGGACAAGCUAUGAGCUUGUCCGGUGCCGGAGGGAAACCGUUAAGUCCGCCGCCUGGGGAGUACGGCCGCAAGGCUGAAACUUAAAGGAAUUGGCGGG
rnacentral:rRNA from 1 species